rnacentral:rRNA from 1 species
CUAGUACGGGAGGCAGCAGUCGGGAAUAUUGCGCAAUGGAGGAAACUCUGACGCAGUGACGCCGCGUGCAGGAAGAAGGUUUUCGGAUUGUAAACUGCUUUUAACAGGAAAGAAAAAAUGACGGUACCUGUUGAAUAAGCUCCGGCUAACUACGUGCCAGCAGCCGCGGUAAUCUAG